UACAGAGGGCAGCUACCCAGCAAUGGGAUGCGAAUCUCGAAAGCCUGUCUCAGUUCGGAUUGGAGGCUGAAACCCGCCUCCAUGAAGUUGGAUUCGCUAGUAAUCGCGCAUCAGCCAUGGCGCGGUGAAUACGUUCCCGGGUCUUGUACACACCGCCCGUCACACCAUGGGAGUCAGUAACGCCCGAAGCCGGUGACCUAACCGAAAGGGAGGAGCCGUCGAAGGUGGGACCGAUAACUGGGGUGAAGUCGUAACAAGGUACC
rnacentral:rRNA from 1 species